rnacentral:lncRNA from 1 species
CUCUUUUGUUCUGGAACGGGCCGAGCCCCAGGAAGUGGAGCUGCGGAGCUGAGGCCUCACCGUGUCUUGGCCCACCCUGCUCAGCUGAUAGGAAGGUGUGUCACCUCUUUCCUAAUCGGGGAAAGAAAGGUAUUGUCACUUCUCAGAAUUGGAGAGCGCGGCAAGGAGUGCACAGGGCCAGGUGUCUUCUCGCUCCCACAGCCAAGCAGCAGAUGCAGAGUCCCACGCGCUGCCUGUGGCCAUCAAGUCGAUAUAGAGCCUCGUGGCGGCUUGGCCCUUGUGAAUCUUCCACGUAUCGAUGGCGCACCUACCUUGUGCCAGGCGCAGCGGAUCCCACAAUGUAAAAGAAGAGGAAAUACACUGCGACAUGUGAUAUGGAGAGACAUGAAACAAAUCAGCAGAGGCAAGAUCAUGGAGUCACUGAAGGCUUUCAAGCAAGGGAUUAUUAGCAGCCCAAUUUGCUGGGUUUUAGAAAGACACCGGCUGCACUGUGGCCGACAGAGGAAAAGCCAGAGACAGGGAGAUCCGCCCCCUAAAUGGGAGAGGGUGGCCUGAACUAGAGUAACCGCAGGGAGGGUGGAGCGCUGAUCAUUUCAAGGAUCUUCAGGAACUGAAAUGAUCAGAACUUGGGAAUGACUGCAUGUGCGAAUAAGGGGGAAAAGUCAAGGAAAUGCCCAGGUUUGGGGCCCAAGGAACAGGUUUGGGAGGCCGAGGUGAGGAGUUCAGCUUUGGACAUAAUGAGUUUGAGAUGCCCACAGGACAUCCAAAUACAAAUGUUAAAGGGGUAACUGAAUAUAUGUGACUGGAGUUUGCGAAAUCAAGGCUGGUGAUAGAGAUUCUGGAAUCUUCUGAAAGCAGAUGGCAAUUGAAGCUAUGGAAAUGGAUGAGAGAGUGUGUAAAGAGCACGAGGGCCCAGGUUAGAACAGCAAGGGCAGGUAGAGAAGUCACCAAAGGACACUGACCAGUGCUACUACCAAAGCAGUCAGGAAGUUGAAGAUAAGGCAGACAACUGGAUUGAUUCAGUUAAGAAUUGAGGCACAAAAGCUGAACCAGCAUUAUAUAGCAGUCAUUUGUAGAAUCUGCUUUGGGUGAAGUCACGUCAGCCUCAAUUAGAGGUUUGGCAGUUGUCAUGGAAAUAAAGGGGACGUCUGUGAAGGUGAGUUACGAUGGCAUCUGGCUAGAUGGGUGAGGAGAGCUAAGAGGUGCUCUGCUGUGAACCAUUCAGCCUUUCCCACACGUGACUCAGGAGUAGGGGAUAUGAGGACUUCAUUGCACCAGUGGGGAGGAGAAAAGCCAUCCGCCCCAUGUGCCACCAAACUGUGCACCUGACUUGUUGCUCCUGCCCACAUCCCUGCCUCCUGAAGGGAGAGAGAGGCAGAGUGGGAAGACAUAUUGCCUAAUGGUGAGGGAAAACACAGGGACUGAUUCAAAUGGCAGGAAACCCCUUGUAAAUGUUUGUGGUGGUUCACAUUUUAUUGAGACAGGAUCUCGCCAUGUUGCUCAGGCUGGUCUCAAGCUCUUGGAUUCAAGCAAUGCUCCUGCCUCAGCUUCCUCAGUAGCUGCGCAACUACAGGCCUCAUUUUAUCUUGUUUUAAAUAGAGUCCCACUUAAAAACUCGCAAUGGAGAAACAGGAAAAGGGAUUUUUAAAAGCAUAUAAACUAGGUGUAUGUGAAUAAAUACACAGUGUAGCUCUGGGGCUGGUUGUUGGGGCUGGGAUUGCGAUGGUACCAUCCUUCUUGUGAAGGAUGUGUUUUUUCUAAUUGGGGGAUAAUUCCAGGUCUCGAAUCUGGAUGACUAGAACAGGAAGUAGAAAGUGGUUUGAAGAAGCACUAAAAAGUGGGACAAUGUUUCAAACACAUUGCGCAUAUCACAUUGAAGACCUUGCUCUCUUUAAUGUCUUACAAGUUUAUUCCCAGGUUAAAAAUAAUUUAAAAAAAAAACUAGUUACUACUAUCAAUACUCUGAUAAUGCAAGUAAUCUCGAUUUGUUGGGUAGAUACUGGAAUAUCACACUUUCUUAAAAUAGUAUAUUUUACAGUAAAUAUAGAUUAGUCAAGUAUCUUUCUGGGUCUCAAUGCAAAGUUUGAGAAUAGUGACAUGUUAUUUUUGGACCCAGCAAAAUAUUUUCUCAACUCUGUAAAUGGGUUUAAAUUCCACCUCCCACCACUUAAUAAACUUUUUUUUUCCUGCCCCGACAGGAUCUUGCUUUAUCGCCCAGGCUGGAGUACAGUGGUGCAAUCAUAACUCACUGUAAUCUUGGACCCCUGGGCUCAAGCAAUCCUCCCCUCAACCUCCCAAGCAGCUACAACUAUAGGCACGUGCCACCACAACCCAGCUAAUUUUCUUAUUUUUCAGAGACAGGGUCUAUGUUGCCCAGGCUGGUCUUGAACUCCUGGCCUCAAGUGAUCCUUCUGUCUCAGCCUCUCAAAGUGCUGGGAUUACAGGUGUGAGCCACCGUGCCCAGCCUAGCUGACCUUUUAAUUUCUUUGCCUGUGAAAUGGGUACUUCCCUCAUACUGAUGCUGUGAGAAACAAGUAAGAAUGUAGUAAAGUACUCAUUGCAGAGCCUAGUAGUCACUUGGGUAGUUAUUAAUAAACAGCUGUAAGAUGAUAGUCACACUCUUAACAGUAAAUAAGAUUAUUUAUUGGAUUCUCCCACAUUCAACCUCCACCUCCUGAUUAGAACAGGAGAAAAACCUGAGGCCACAAGAAAUGAUCAAGAAACAAAAGGCUGCGGCAGUUAUCACUGCAGUUCCUAUGAACUGGUUUAAAUCAGCAAUGAGGUAUUUGUAUUUUGUAUUGCAUUACUCCCAUUAAGUUAAACCUCAAUUAACUAGAACCUUUGUUCCAAAAUGGUGUUGACAGCCAGGCGUGGUGGCUCACGCCUGUAAUCAAUCCCAGCACUCUGGGAGGCCAAGGCAGCUGAGGUCAGGAGUUCGAGACCAGCCUGGCCAACAUAGUGAAACCCCAUCUCUACUAAAAAUACAAAAAUUAGCUGGGCGUGGUGGUGGGCACCUGUAAUCCCAGCUACUCUGGAGGCUGAGGCCGCAUAAUAGCUUGAAUCCAGGAGGUGGAGGAUGCAGUGAGCCGAGAUUGCACCACUGCCCUCCAGCCUUGGCAACAGAGCGAGGCUUCAUCUCAAAAAACAAACAAAAAACAAAUCAAAAUUCUGUUUAUAUUCACUUUUAGAAGAAAAAGGCAAAUGACAUAAAAGAGUUUUUUUUAUAUAUAUAUAUAUUUAUUUAUUUUUAAAAACUCCAGGGGAUGUCCCAAAGUUAGUAAACAGUUCUGUUUCUUGUCCCUUUUAUGGCUGCAUGCAGUUUCAAUUGUUCAGUACAACAGAUGAGGCAUUUAAAAGGUCUCCAACGUCAAGAAACACUAACUCAUCUCUGGCAUAUCAUAUUUUUUAAGGCAGAAGUAUUUUCUGUAAUGGUUACUACAGAGUGUUUACUGGUUAAUUUUUAGUUAACCAGAACCACACAUCCCAUAGAUAAUUCCAUUUAACUGAGGUUUAUAUCCGUAAGAGCAUUACCAUAGAAAAAUUUCCCUUUAGCAAUUUCAAGAGACCUCAGCCACCAAUAUACCUACCUUCUUUACAAUAUAAAGUGAAAUAUUACUUUAGAUGAAAAUUUUUUGUAUCUUACUUAGAAAAAAUUAAGUUGAUAUUUAAAAGAAUUUUGAUUUUUAAUCACCUUCCACAACGAUUUGAUAUACCUUAAACUCCACUUUCAUUUUUUAUAAGAGAAUCACUUUCAAGGGAAAAAAAUGGAUGUUACUAUAUUUUAAAAUCUGCUUUAUAAAAAAGUGUAUAAAUAUCAAUCUGCCAGAUAUACUUCCUAUCCCCAACACAGCUGUAACACUGACUAAUGGGGUCAUGACCAUGAAGCAAAUUUUACUUCCUAAAUAGAAAUGUGUAGGUGGCAGAAAGCGUAUUUUUCAGCAGGAGUGAUUCUGUUGGAUCUCUUUACAAUGUCAGAGCAGUUGUUAGAAAUGUUAGUAUUUUAUUCGGUUUCUUGCUGUGAAGGAUUAUCACAAUGUUGAAGUGAUGGCUGUUCACCCAGUCGUCAUCACCGUCAUCAUCUCAAUCUUGGGAAUCAUCAGCAGUGUCCCCCACACAGAGAGACAGGUAUAGUGGUGCAGUUUAGUGACAGGGAAUCCAGUCUUAGAUCCUGUUUAUAUCACAUUUUUGUGAAUUUACACAAAAUUCCAUUUAUAGCUUUAAAACUGUACUACAUAACACAUUACUAUACUACUACAAAAUAUCCUUCUCUAUAAAUGCACUGAAUAUUUUCUUGGGCAUUUUAUUAGGCCUUUUUUAGCAUUAUUACAAAUGCUAACAACAAGAUACUUCAAACCACCAAAUAUAAAGUCAGCUUCUUAAUUUUCUGAAAUUUAGUUAUUUGAGUUAAUAAGAAUUCUGUAGGAAUACUGACCCAUCUCUUUUCAUCCAACCUUCAAAAUAGUUAAGCCUAUUUGCCCAUCUCACCUAACCUUCAAAAUAGUUAAAACAAAAACAAACCCAAACUAGCUAUAUAUAACAAGAAUCUUUCAAUUCCCAAACUAUUGAAAGACCCUAAGUCAGCCAAUCUAUGAAAUUAUACAAGAUGAAGGUGAAAAAGCUGUGCUUUUUUUUAAACCAUUAAACCCAGUUCUUUUCUCUUAAAGUUGUAAGAAAAUGGAAAAUCUGUUUUUAAAUCAUGCAAAGAUUUAAAUAAGCAUUUUUCUAUCUGCUCUAAGAAACUGUUUCUUAUCUUACAAUUUUAAAUAUUCAUAACACUCAAACUACUUUUUUGUGGCCAUUUAUGUUUUUGACACUAGAUUGUAUGGUAUUAUUUAGCCAAGAUGUAUUAUAAUGCUAAAUUAUGUAUAAAAUAUGAUUUCUGGAAUUUGUCCAUCUUCUAUUGAAGUGCCAUUAUUAUUGCCAGGGGAACUAAAAAAGAAAAAAACAGUCUUGCUUGCAGCAGGUGUCUCAUGCACUACUUUCUUCAAUCCUUUUGUGCCAUAGUGGGAAUCUGGACCCUAAAUGAGAACAAAAGGUUCCUUAGUAAUUUUCAUUUAAUAAGCACUCAGUUUAAUGUGGUGUUUUAAUUAGAUUAAUGUUCCAUUAUAUUUCACUAUCAUUCCUAUAUAAAAUUUUAUGCUGUCAUUUAGAGAAAAAUGAAGUUUUUACCAAAAAACUAAUUAAUGAAUAAAAAUACUGAAUGUACAGCCCAGCUAUUAGAGAAUAGUGAAAAGAUUUUACAAAAAUAACUUUUAUUUUCUGCCAAACAUUCAACUGCUUACUGAAACAAAGGGCUACUUCUUAAGAAGAGCUAUUUCUUUCAGAACAGAGCUGUGGGGAGAAGUACUUCUUUUCGGAAGGCAGUGGAAUAUUUUAGCUCCCAGCUUCUUUUCCCCCCUCUUUAUAAAUGGCUCAGCUGUCAGUGACUCUCAGCUUCUAAAACACACAUUCUGCAACAUUCAAGAGGAAACCAUCUGGAACAUAGUGCAUGACUCUUACUUUGAGUGUUGCACAUGCUGUGUAGCACACAUUGGGCAGGAUCUCUAUGGGUUCCUUGAACAUGACCCUGAAUGUGUUAGCUGUCCCAUCACAACUAAAGCCGGUAUCAUUCUGUCCCAGGGUUUGCUUUUUCUCAUAUUCAAUGAUCUGUAAUUUUUAAGAGACAAGUUACAUUUAAG